UCAGCACCUCCAAGGACAUGGUAAUUAAUACUCCCAAGGACUCAGGACUCAGCACCCCCAAGGAUGUGGUAGUACUCCCAGGGACUCAGGACUCAGCACCCCCAAGGACGUGGUACUUAGUACCCCCAGGGACUCAGGACUCAGCACUCCCAAGGACGUGGUAGUUAGUACCCCCAGGGACUCAGGACUCAGCACCUGAGCUUGGCAGAAACAUCAAGAGGAGAAGGGAGCUGCCAGUGUUGGCAGAAGCGGGGCCCUCACGGAGGCGGCUCGGGCACCGGGGCACUCAGUCAGCUGGGGGCAUGGGAGCCACGGAAGGGCCUGCCUGGGGACGGCCUGCUCCCAUCCUGCUGGGGGUGGGCCGCCGGGUGCCCCCUGUGCUCUGCACCCACAUCCGCCCGCGCCCUUUGGAAGCACUGAUUCCUGCCUCAGCCGGGGGGGGGCGGGGGGGGCGGCCAGAGCCUCUCCCUCCCCUGCGGGCGCCGGCAAAAGUCGGGCGGGGGUGUGCCCCUGUGCUCGCCCAGGCAGCGAGGUGCCAGAGCCGGCUCUGGAAGGGCUGAGAGGCCCUGGGCGGAGGUGGAGCGCGAGGCCACCUGCUCGGCCCACACCUGGGAGGGCCCCGGGAGGCUGUGGGAGGCUGGUUUCGCUCCCCACCUCGGCACUGUCCCCUCCCAGGGCCACCCAGGCUCUGUGCCUGCCUGGAUGGCCUCUGCCCUGGCAGAGGGGGGAAGCUGUCUCACCUCCCCGGGGCUCCUCGGCCUCCUGCUCUGACCCCAGAAGCAGAAGCCAACAGCCCGCAGCAAGCCCCGAAGGCCGGCCGGGGGCCGAAGUCCCGGGCAGGGCAGCAGAGGGCCCGGCCCUGGGGUCCCCAGCUUCCCCCGCGGGGCAGGAGGAGAGCUGCCCUCUGUCUGGCGCCGCCCGGGGGCCAUCCCCGUGGCGUUCAGGCUGCAGGGAUCUGGCAGGCGAGGGCCCCCCGCGGGCGUGGCCGGCCUCAGGUGUGCACUGCGCGGGGACUCACCUGCUCGCUGGCCGUGGGGUCAGGGCUGGCAGGAGCUGGCAGGCCCGAGUGUGGCAGCGGGCAGCAGGCGAGCCCUACCCGACUUCCGCGUGGGCCUCACCCCUCCCUCCCUGGUCUCUCCUGCCUCGCUCCUCCUGCCCCUCCUCCUGCCCGGGCUGAUCCUCCUGCAGCCACGCCCCAGGCUGGAAGGAACACCCCUCCCUGUCCUGGGGACCCCUCGGCCCCCUGAGGGCUCGCCCUCCCCUGUGGGAGGGGCUCCCUGGGGAGAUGGAGUGAGAGUGGCAUCUGGGGGUGGAGCGUGGGAGGGCCCAGGAGCACCCCAGGGCCGGCUCCCGUGCACCUGCCUCUUCAGGUGGCAGGACACGCCCUCUGCAGGGUCCCUGCAGGGCCUGUGGCCUGGACUCCCUGCCCGCACCGCUGUUGGUUCCCUUAGGGGAGAAGCGGGGCCGAGUUGAGGACACCCCAAGGAGACACUCCCACCCGAGCCCCUGCGCUGUGGACCUCACCUAGGGGGCCGGGGCCCUUGGGGUCCUGAGGACCCUCGCUGCCCGGGCCGCCAGCCAGCAGAGCGCCCCAACAGCGACGUGGGGUUCCCAGGCUCCAGAAGCUGCUCGGAAGCUCAGGACAGCAGGCGGGGUACCCGGGGCAUGGCACGGGGACACGGAGCAGAAACAGGGGCACCCCCCACCCCACCCCUCCUGGCAUGGAGGGCAGGGGUGCGCACGGUGUCAGCCCGCCCCGGGCAACCCCGAGUCUGCACCCAGCAUGGGCAUCUACCCUGCCCCGGGGUCCCCCCGCUUGUGUGGAGGACCCCAUGGCAGGCUGUGGGGCGGCCAUGACCAGGCCGGAACUGGGACCAGCAGAGAUGGCAGAGGGACCUGCGUGACUCCCCCGGAGCGACUCUGGACUCAGCCUUAGGGCUGGUUCCCGGGGAGCCCGGCUCCGGAGGUGGACGCGUAGACUCACUGCCUUCCCCACGGAUGGGGGCCGGGGGCCAGGCCAGCACCAGUGGGGAUUUUUGAGGCUAAUUUUUAUUGUAUUAAAAUUAAAUAACUGAAUUGUAUUAAAAUUGAAUAAUUGAAUAAAUGAGCAUAUAAUGUAUCCUGGUGCCA
rnacentral:lncRNA from 12 species